rnacentral:lncRNA from 1 species
AGUGUCUUGGAUGCUCAGGCAUAACGAGGCAGCGGCUUCGACGUGCACUGGAUAUAAGGGUGGGGAGACUGUUGUCAUGGCUGCAGCAGAGCAAGACGGGCCGGGCCGUGAGCUGCCUCACGGUUGGGACUCUAGCACAUAGUCAGCAUGUGGGUGCAUGGCUCACGGACGGUAUGCACCGAGUGUGCAAAGCCAGGUGCACUGCUCUGACGAGUGACAGAGCACACGUGCGUGCCUACUAAACAGACCACAGGGAAGCCAGGACCUGGCACUUAGACCCAAUUGCAGGUCUCCGUCAGCCCCCACAGCUCUUCUUCUUUGCUAAGUGUGCCCUGUCCUGCCCCGCCUUUGAAGGCAGCCUGCAGAGAAGCUGAAUCCUCAUCCACAGAGCCCCAUCGAGGAGAGGAUGUGUAAGUGGGGAGACCUUACCCUGACGGUCUGUAAGAACACCCACAUCAGUAGCGAAGGGAAAAACAGGAAGCCAGAGCCAGGGCAGGGACAGCGGUGCCCGGCACUCAGCACGCGCCCUGUGACAGCAGCCUGUGGCCCACCUGUGACAGCAGCCCUGGAUUCUGGCAGAGCGUCUACGAAGUGACCUGGGUAUCGACUCU